AUGAACGCUGGCGGCGUGCCUAAUACCUGCCAGUCGAGCGAACAGACGAGGAGCUUGCUCCUUUGACGUUAGCGGCGGACGGGUGAGUAACACGUGGAUAACCUACCUAUAAGACUGGGAUAACUUCGGGAAACCGGAGCUAAUACCGGAUAACAUGUUGAACCGCAUGGUUCAACAGUGAAAGACGGUCUUGCUGUCACUUAUAGAUGGAUCCGCGCCGCAUUAGCUAGUUGGUAAGGUAACGGCUUACCAAGGCAACGAUGCGUAGCCGACCUGAGAGGUUGAUCGGCCACACUAGAACUGAGACACGGUCCAGACUCCUACGGGAGGCAGCAGUAGGGAAUCUUCCGCAAUGGGCGAAAGCCUGACGGAGCAACGCCGCGUGAGUGAAGAAGGUCUUCGGAUCGUAAAACUCUGUUAUUAGGGAAGAACAAAUGUGUAAGUAACUAUGCACGUCUUGACGGUACCUAAUCAGAAAGCCACGGCUAACUACGUG
rnacentral:rRNA from 1 species